UACGAAGGGGGGCUAGCGUUGCUCGGAAUCACUGGGGCGUAAAGCGCGCGUUAGGCGGUGAUCUUUUGUCAGAGGUGAAAAGCCUGGGGGCUCAACCCCCAGAAUUUGCCUUUUGAAAACGGGGAUCGCUAGAGUCCGAGAGAGGAUGGCGGAAUUCCUAGUGUAGAGGGUGAAAUUCGUAGAUAUUCGCAAGAACACCAGUGGGCGAAGGCGGCUCACUGGCCCCCGAUACUGACGCUGAGGGCACGAAAAGCGUUGGGGGGGAGCAAACAGGG
rnacentral:rRNA from 1 species